rnacentral:rRNA from 1 species
UACGUAGGUGGCAAGCGUUGUCCGGAAUUAUUGGGCGUAAAGCGCGCGCAGGCGGUCCUUUAAGUCUGAUGUGAAAGCCCACGGCUCAACCGUGGAGGGUCAUUGGAAACUGGGGGACUUGAGUACAGAAGAGAAGAGUGGAAUUCCACGUGUAGCGGUGAAAUGCGUAGAGAUGUGGAGGAACACCAGUGGCGAAGGCAGCUCGCUGGGACGGUACUGACGCUGAGGCGCGAAAGCGUGGGGAGCAAACAGG